CCUACGGGAUGCAGCAGUGGGGAAUAUUGCACAAUGGGGGAAACCCUGAUGCAGCGACGCCGCGUGAGUGAAGAAGUAUUUCGGUAUGUAAAGCUCUAUCAGCAGGGAAGAAGAAAGACGGUACCUGACUCAGAAGCCCCGGCUAACUACGUGCCAGCAGCCGCGGUAAUACGUAGGGGGCAAGCGGUAUCCGGAUUUACUGGGUGUAAAGGGAGCGUAGACGGCUGUGCAAGUCUGAAGUGAAAGCCCAGGGCUCAACCCUGGGACUGCUUUGGAAACUGUGGAGCUAGAGUGCUGGAGAGGUAAGUGGAAUUCCUAGUGUAGCGGUGAAAUGCGUAGAUAUUAGGAGGAACACCAGUGGCGAAGGCGGCUUACUGGACAGUAACUGACGUUGAGGCUCGAAAGCGUGGGGAGCAAACAGGAUUAGAUACCCCAGUAGUC
rnacentral:rRNA from 1 species